rnacentral:rRNA from 1 species
UACGUAGGGAGCAAGCGUUAUCCGGAUUUACUGGGUGUAAAGGGCGCGCAGGCGGGCCGGUAAGUUGGGAGUGAAAUCUAUGGGCUUAACCCAUAAACUGCUUUCAAAACUGCUGGUCUUGAGUGAUGGAGAGGCAGGCGGAAUUCCGUGUGUAGCGGUGAAAUGCGUAGAUAUACGGAGGAACACCAGUGGCGAAGGCGGCCUGCUGGACAUUAACUGACGCUGAGGCGCGAAAGCGUGGGGAGCAAACAGG